rnacentral:rRNA from 1 species
UCCGUAGGUGAACCUGCGGAAGGAUCAUUAUCGUAAAACUGAGGCAUGAGGGCUGUCGCUGACUUUGUGUCGUGCACGCCCGAGUGCUCUCAAACAUCCAUCUCACCCCUAUGUGCACCACCGCGUGGGUCCCCUUUCGACUCGUUCGGAGGGGGGCUCGCGUUUUCACACAAACUCGAUACAGUGUAGAAUGUCUUCCUUUGCGAUCACACGCAAUUAAUACAACUUUCAACAACGGAUCUCUUGGCUCUCGCAUCGAUGAAGAACGCAGCGAAAUGCGAUACGUAAUGUGAAUUGCAGAAUUCAGUGAAUCAUCGAAUCUUUGAACGCACCUUGCGCCCCUUGGCAUUCCGAGGGGCACACCCGUUUGAGUGUCGUGAAAUUCUCAAAACCUUUCUUUGGAAAGGAUUUUGGACUUGGAGGCCUUUUGCUGGUUUCACCUCGAAGCGAGCUCCUCCCAAAUGGAUUAGUGGGGUCUGCUUUGCCGAUCCUUGACGUGAUAAGAUGUUUCUACGUCUUGGGUUUGGCACUGUCACUCGGGCAUCCGCUUCUAACCGUCUCGUCGACAACGAUGGCGUUCCGGUCUCCACCGUUUCAUCGGUGGGAGGCUUGACCCACCAAAAAACCUUGACCUCAAAUCGGGUGAGACUACCCGCUGAACUUAAGCAUAUCAAUAAGCGGAGGAAAUCUCU